GAUGAACGCUGGCGGCGUGCCUAAUACAUGCAAGUCGAGCGAACGGACGAGAAGCUUGCUUCUCUGAUGUUAGCGGCGGACGGGUGAGUAACACGUGGAUAACCUACCUAUAAGACUGGGAUAACUUCGGGAAACCGGAGCUAAUACCGGAUGAUAUUUUGAACCGCAUGGUUCAAAAGUGAAAGACGGUCUUGCUGUCACUUAUAGAUGGAUCCGCGCUGCAUUAGCUAGUUGGUAAGGUAACGGCUUACCAAGGCAACGAUGCAUAGCCGACCUGAGAGGGGGGAGGCCCCCCCGGAACGUGGGCCCCGGUCCAGGCCCCGAGGGAGGGCACCGGAGGGAAUCUUCCGCAAUGGGCGAAAGCCUGACGGAGCAACGCCGCGUGAGUGAUGAAGGUCUUCGGAUCGUAAAACUCUGUUAUUAGGGAAGAACAUAUGUGUAAGUAACUGUGCACAUCUUGACGGUACCUAAUCAGAAAGCCACGGCUAACUACGUG
rnacentral:rRNA from 1 species